AUCCAGCUAACGAGUCCCAAAUAGGUCGAAAUGCGCGUCAAACUGGAU
rnacentral:hammerhead_ribozyme from 1 species